rnacentral:tRNA from 1 species
GGCGCCGUGGGGGAGUCUGGAGUCCCUGCAACCUUGUCACGGUUGAGAGCGCGGGUUCAAAUCCCGCCGGCGUCGCCA